rnacentral:rRNA from 1 species
GACGAACGCUGGCGGCGUGCUUAACACAUGGAAGUCGAACGGAAAGGCCCUGCUUUUGUGGGGUGCUCGAGUGGCGAACGGGUGAGUAACACGUGAGUAACCUGCCCUUGACUUUGGGAUAACUUCAGGAAACUGGGGCUAAUACCGGAUAGGAUCUCCUGCUGCAUGGUGGGGGUUGGAAAGUUUCGGCGGUUGGGGAUGGACUCGCGGCUUAUCAGCUUGUUGGUGGGGUAGUGGCUUACCAAGGCUUUGACGGGUAGCCGGCCUGAGAGGGUGACCGGCCACAUUGGGACUGAGAUACGGCCCAGACUCCUACGGGAGGCAGCAGUGGGGAAUAUUGCACAAUGGGCGGAAGCCUGAUGCAGCAACGCCGCGUGCGGGAUGACGGCCUUCGGGUUGUAAACCGCUUUCGCCUGUGACGAAGCGUGAGUGACGGUAAUGGGUAAAGAAGCACCGGCUAACUACGUG